AUACGUAGGGGGCGAGCGUUAUCCGGAAUUAUUGGGCGUAAAGAGUGCGUAGGUGGCCAUGUAAGCGCGGGGUGAAAGGCAAUAGCUUAACUAUUGUAAGCCUUGCGAACUGUGUGGCUUGAGUGCAGGAGAGGAAAGUGGAAUUCCUAGUGUAGCGGUGAAAUGCGUAGAUAUUAGGAGGAACACCAGUGCGAAGGCGCUUUCUGGACUGUACUGACACUGAGGCACGAAAGCGUGGGGAGC
rnacentral:rRNA from 1 species